AAGGAAAAUCCAGCUACUUGAAUGAAAUUUCAGGAAAAAGAAGGAAAGAUUACCAGAGUCGGAUUGGAACCACGGGAAAGAUCGAAAAGGAUCAUCACCGGAUAGGUUGGAAGAGUCAUCGGUGGCUUUGACCACGAUAUGAUGGCGAGAAGAACGAGAUGAUGAGAAAUUGAAUGAGGAUCUGAAAAGCGGGGAGAGAGGAGAUGAUAGCGUGGAACGAGAAAUUGAUGCAAGAGAAGAAGGGAAUCUGAAUCUUGAGGAGAUGAUAGCGGUGGAAGAAGCCCUAGCAAUGGUGGUGGAGUUUCAGCGGUGACCAAGCACCCCUUUCUUCUCUCCUCCAUCGCGUUUUCUCUCUCCCUCGAGCUCUCUUUCACCGGCGCUCGACAGCGGUGGAGCCAUAUGCGGCGUCGUCGUUUCUUUCCUUCCUUCCCCUCUCCUCUCUUCUUCUCUUCUUCUUCCUGUGCUCCCCUUUUCUGAUUUCUUCUCUUUCGUGUGUGUGAGUUGAGGGAGGAUGAGAGUGCGUGAGUGAGGCUGAAUGGAUACGAAAAGGGGGAAAAAUUUACCUAAUGUGAGAGCGCAGCGAACAGAAGCGACGAUGAAGACUAGUGAUGGCGUGGUGAGUGGUGAGUGACGAAUAUGAGUGACUGGUGGAGAUGGUGAGUGGUGAGUGGUGAGUGGUG
rnacentral:lncRNA from 1 species